rnacentral:misc_RNA from 1 species
CUUUGCCCAUGAAUUUAGCACCGCCUCUAGGCUGUGGCUGAGUCCAAUUCGGUUCGUUACGAUUCGCUAAGACUGCGGAUGCCAUGAAUAGUCCGGUAGAAAUCCGGCCGUUCUCCGGCGAGGGCUUCGCAAUUCAGAUGAACAAGAAAUCAUGAAUGGGACAGAGCGUAGUCCCACGCGCAACCUCUUUUAAACCACGCGCCACUGAAAUAUUGACCCACGAAAUCAAAAAAUGAAGAAAUCAAAUUAAUUUAACGGCUAAGAUCUUGCCCGAUCUUUCACCGGGCAGAUCUCAU